ACGCUCGACACCUACGGGAGGCGCAGUGGGGAAUAUUGCACAAUGGGGGAAACCCUGAUGCAGCGACGCCGCGUGGAGGAAGAAGGUCUUCGGAUUGUAAACUCCUGUUGUUGGGGAAAAAGAGGAUGGUACCCAACAAGGAAGUGACGGCUAACUACGUGCAAGCAGCCGCGGUAAUCUGAGCGGGCUGGCAAGGC
rnacentral:rRNA from 1 species